rnacentral:rRNA from 1 species
AGUUUGAUCAUGGCUCAGGACGAAACGCUGGCGGCGUGCUUAACACAUGCAAGUCGAACGAUGAAGCCUAGCUUGCUAGGUGGAUUAGUGGCGAACGGGUGAGUAAUACGUGAGUGACCUACCUUUUGACUCUGGGAUAAGCCUGGGAAACUGGGUCUAAUACCGGAUACGACCAAUCUCUGCAUGGGGUGUUGGUGGAAAGCGUUAUGGAGUGGUUUUAGAUGGGCUCACGGCCUAUCAGCUUGUUGGUGAGGUAAUGGCUUACCAAGGCGACGACGGGUAGCCGGCCUGAGAGGGUGACCGGCCACACUGGGACUGAGACACGGCCCAGACUCCUACGGGAGGCAGCAGUGGGGAAUAUUGCACAAUGGGCGCAAGCCUGAUGCAGCGACGCCGCGUGAGGGAUGACGGCCUUCGGGUUGUAAACCUCUGUUAGCAUCGAAGAAGCGAAAGUGACGGUAGGUGCAGAGAAAGCGCCGGCUAACUACGUGCCAGCAGCCGCGGUAAUACGUAGGGCGCGAGCGUUGUCCGGAAUUAUUGGGCGUAAAGAGCUUGUAGGGCGGUUGGUCGCGUCUGCUGUGAAAGGCCGGGGCUUAACUCCGGUUUUGCAGUGGGUACGGGCUAACUAGAGUGCAGUAGGGGAGACUGGAAUUCCUGGUGUAGCGGUGGAAUGCACAGAUAUCAGGAGGAACACCGAUGGCGAAGGCAGGUCUCUGGGCUGUAACUGACGCUGAGAAGCGAAAGCAUGGGGAGCGAACAGGAUUAGAUACCCUGGUAGUCCAUGCCGUAAACGUUGGGCACUAGGUGUGGGGGACAUUCCACGUUUUCCGCGCCGUAGCUAACGCAUUAAGUGCCCCGCCUGGGGAGUACGGCCGCAAGGCUAAAACUCAAAGGAAUUGACGGGGGCCCGCACAAGCGGCGGAGCAUGCGGAUUAAUUCGAUGCAACGCGAAGAACCUUACCAAGGCUUGACAUGCAUUAGAUCGCGUCAGAGAUGGCGUUUCCCUUCGGGGCUGGUGUACAGGUGGUGCAUGGUUGUCGUCAGCUCGUGUCGUGAGAUGUUGGGUUAAGUCCCGCAACGAGCGCAACCCUCGUUCUAUGUUGCCAGCGGUUCGGCCGGGGACUCAUAGGAGACUGCCGGGGUCAACUCGGAGGAAGGUGGGGAUGACGUCAAAUCAUCAUGCCCCUUAUGUCUUGGGCUUCACGCAUGCUACAAUGGCCGGUACAGAGGGUUGCGAUACUGUGAGGUGGAGCUAAUCCCUUAAAGCCGGUCUCAGUUCGGAUUGGGGUCUGCAACUCGACCCCAUGAAGUCGGAGUCGCUAGUAAUCGCAGAUCAGCAACGCUGCGGUGAAUACGUUCCCGGGCCUUGCACACACCGCCCGUC